AACGCUGGUGGCAGGCCUAACACAUGCAAGUCGAGCGGCAUCGAGUGAUCGCAGUUUACUGAGUUCAUGUCGGCGAGCGGCGGACGGGUGAGUAAAGUCUGGGAAUCUGGCCGAAGGAGGGGGAUAACUGCUGGAAACGGCAGCUAAUACCGCAUGAAGUCGCGAGACCAAAGUGGGGGACCUUCGGGCCUCACGCCUUCGGAUGAGCCCAGAUGAGAUUAGCUGGUAGGUAAGGUAAAGGCUUACCUAGGCGACGAUCUCUAGCGGGUCUGAGAGGAUAGCCCGCCACACUGGAACUGAGACACGGUCCAGACUCCUACGGGAGGCAGCAGUGGGGAAUAUUGCACAAUGGGCGAAAGCCUGAUGCAGCCAUGCCACGUGUGUGAAGAAGGCCUUCGGGUUGUAAAGCACUUUCAGCGAGGAGGAAG
rnacentral:rRNA from 1 species